rnacentral:rRNA from 2 species
UACGUAGGGUGCAAGCGUUAAUCGGAAUUACUGGGCGUAAAGCGUGCGCAGGCGGUGAUGUAAGACAGAUGUGAAAUCCCCGGGCUCAACCUGGGAACUGCAUUUGUGACUGCAUCGCUGGAGUGCGGCAGAGGGGGAUGGAAUUCCGCGUGUAGCAGUGAAAUGCGUAGAUAUGCGGAGGAACACCGAUGGCGAAGGCAAUCCCCUGGGCCUGCACUGACGCUCAUGCACGAAAGCGUGGGGAGCAAAC